rnacentral:rRNA from 1 species
UACAUGUGGGCAAGCGUUGUUCGGAAUUACUGGGCAUAAAGGGUGCGUAGGCGGCCAACUAAGUCAGACGUGAAAUCCCUCGGCUUAACCGGGGAACUGCGUCUGAUACUGGAUGGCUCGAGUUUGGGAGAGGGAUGCGGAAUUCCAGGUGUAGCGGUGAAAUGCGUAGAUAUCUGGAGGAACACCGGUGGCGAAGGCGGCAUCCUGGACCAACACUGACGCUGAUGAGCGAAAGCCAGGGAGCAAACGGG